rnacentral:rRNA from 1 species
AUUGAACGCUGGCGGCAUGCCUUACACAUGCAAGUCGAACGGUAGAGUAGCAAUACUCGAGAGUGGCGAACGGGUGAGUAAUAUAUCGGAACGUGCCCAGUCGUGGGGGAUAACGUAGAGGAAUUUACGCUAAUACCGCAUACAAUCUAAGGAUGAAAGCGGGGGACUCGCAAGGGCCUCGCGCGAUUGGAGCGGCUGAU